CUGAGCAGAGAGGAUGCUGGGAAAUACACCCUCAUGGCUUUGAACCGUAUCGGAAGAGCCAAUCACACAGUGGAGGUGGAGGUCCUACAUGGCCGUGCUGCUAGAGGAGCUUCCUGUCAGGCUGCUGGGAGUGCCACGGUGGCUGUGCUGCUCCACCAGCUCAUUUAUUGGCUAUAUUGAAUGAUUAUUUUAUUGAUUGAACGGUUGAGUUAUUCAUUGACCAAUCAGGACACCGAUCUCUGUGCUGGAGCUUUGUGAUUUGACAGUGAUCUGUGAGGUCAGUCUUCAAUAGAUCUGGAAUCAGAGUUAGUAGAAAACCCUUUUUGCCUAAAUGUGAAAUGAGCUGUUUUGAAAUGUGUUAUUUUGAAGUAGUGCUAUUGAACAGGUCUGUAGUUAAGCAAUAAGGCCUGAGGGGGUGUGGUAUAUGUCCAAUAUACCACGGCUAUGGGCUGUUCUUAUGCACGUCACAACGGUAUAAAUGUUUAUUCCAAAUCCUAACCUUAAAUGUUUAUUACUAUUAAACUAUAUAAAUGUUUCGGCCUAAUCCUAACCUUAAAUGUUUAUUACUAAUAAACUAUAGAAAUGUUUCGGCCUAAUCCUAACCCUAACCCUAAUCCUAACCCUAACCCUAACCCUAACCCUAACCCUAACCCUAAUCCUAAUCCUAACCCUAAUCCUAACCCUAACCCUAACCCUAACCCUAAUCCUAACCCUAAUCCUAACCCUAAUCCUAACCCUAAUCCUAAUCCUAAUCCUAACCCAGUCUCUAGCAACAGAUCUGCCAUAAUCCUUAUUGCAAUGUGUUUGUUGUCUAUGUCUUUUGAGACGAAUAAAAGUUGACCCAUAAACUGUCA